UACGUAGGGUGCAAGCGUUGUCCGGAAUUAUUGGGCGUAAAGGGCGUGUAGGUGGCGCGCUACGUCGGGUGUGAAAUUUCGGAGCUUAACUCCGAAACUGCAUUCGAUACUGGCGUGCUUGAGGACUGGAGAGGAGACUGGAAUUCAUGGUGUAGCAGUGAAAUGCGUAGAGAUCAUGAGGAAGACCAGUGGCGAAGGCGGGUCUCUGGACAGUUCCUGACACUGAGACACGAAGGCCAGGGGAGCAAACGGG
rnacentral:rRNA from 1 species